rnacentral:rRNA from 1 species
AUUGAACGCUGGUGGCGUGCUUAACACAUGCAAGUCGUGCGAGAACGGUUCCUUCGGGAGCUUAGUAGAGCGGCGCACGGGUGAGUAACGCGUGGAUAAUCUACCUUGAAGAUCGGGAUAACAGUUGGAAACGGCUGCUAAUACCGGAUACGUUUCAUAUUUGACUUUAUAAGAGAAAGAGGGCCUCUGUUUACAAGCUUUCACUUCGAGAUGAGUCCGCGUUUCAUUAGGUAGUUGGUAGGGUAACGGCCUACCAAGCCGACGAUGAAUAGCUGGUCUGAGAGGAUAACCAGCCACACUGGGACUGGAACACGGCCCAG